rnacentral:misc_RNA from 1 species
GAUGAAGAACGUAGUGAAAUGCGAUAAGUAAUGCGAAUUGCAGAAUUCCGUGAGUCAUCGAAUCUUUGAACGCACAUUGCGCCCCCUGGUAUUCCGGAGGGCAUGUCUGUCCGAGCGUCAUUAGUCCAAUCUCAAGCCCGGCUCGUCGUUGGGUCGCACCGCCCGGGGCGGUGGACCCGAAAUAUAAUGACGGGGUCUAGCGGACCGUGGGCGCAGCGAGCUUUUACAGCACGCGUCCCGGCGUCAUCUAGACGCGUCUCCAACCAUACUCUCUGUAGGUUGACCUCGGAUCAGACAGGAUUACCCGCUGAACUUAAGCAUAUCAAUAAGCGGAGGA